AGAGAUAUAACUCAGUGGCAGAGUGUCUGCUUAGUAUGCAGGAAGGAGGCCCUGGGUUUAAUACCCAGCACCACAA
rnacentral:tRNA from 1 species